GGGGCAUGUAUGUAAUUNNNNNNNNNUAAAUUUCUUCCAAAUUUCGACCUCAUUUUACGUGCGAAUCGAACGCCGAUUUCAAAAACUAAUACCGGAAACCUUUGUAAAAUUGAAAAACGAUCAAAAUCCAUAUAAGGAACGUCGAGUUUCGUGGAGUAUUGAGGGAGAUCGAACCGGGUCAAAAACCGGGUCGCACGACCCGUGGGGGCGCGUGCGGCCUCAGGGAGGCUCUAUUUUUUUUUAUUUUUUCAUAAUAAAAUAGUAGAUAAUAUUCUGGAAAUUUUGGUAUAUUGUAUGAAAUUUUGGGAGACCCGAAACUAUUUUUAGUUAAUUAAAUGAGUAGAAAGGUAAUUAAAAAUAUUAUAAUUCCAUAAAAAAUUUCCAAAAUUUUAUGUAAAGUACUAUGAAUUAUUUAGAACCCUCUUGUGUACCUCACUCUCCCUAGUUCAAGUCAUGAAAUUAUUUUCACAAAUUCCGCUGAUUAUUUAAAACUAUUUAACAAAUAAUAAUAAUAAUUUCAUAGAUUUGUACUCUCAAACCAAUUGUUUUUUUAUUUGUUUCUAAUAAAAUAUUAGAUAAUAUUCUGGAACUUUUGGUAUAU
rnacentral:lncRNA from 1 species